GGCCGGUUUAGAAAUUACUUGUAUUUACUAAGUGCAUCGGGAAUUACAUGUAAUUCCUAAAUUUUAGUAAUUACAUGUAAUUCCUAAUUUCACCUAUUUACUGUAACAUAUACAUGUAUGCUUUCUGAGGGGAAACCAGGAACUAUCAGUUGCACUUAGUUGAUUAUUGGAUAUCAUGGUUAAUAAUCUUAACGAAAAAGGCAAACAUGAUUU
rnacentral:lncRNA from 1 species